rnacentral:rRNA from 1 species
CCCCUAGAUGUUCUGGGCCGCACGCGCGCUACACUGAACAGUUCAACAAGUCUUAACCUUGGCCGAUAGGUCUGGGUAAUCUUUGAACGCUGUUCGUGAUUGGGAUAGACCUUUGCAAUUAUGGGUCUUCAACGAGGAAUUCCUAGUAAACGCAAGUCAUCAGCUUGCAUUGAUUACGUCCCUGCCCUUUGUACACACCGCCCGUCGCACCUACCGAUUGAAUGGUCCGGUGAAAUCUCGGGACGGCGGCUUGGUCGCUUGCGUCCGACUGCUGAAACUUGAUUAAACCAUAUCAUUUCGAGGAAGGUGAAGUCGUANCA